rnacentral:rRNA from 1 species
UACGUAGGGGGCAAGCGUUGUCCGGAAUUAUUGGGCGUAAAGAGCGUGUAGGCGGUCCGGUAAGUCAGCUGUGAAAGUCAAGGGCUCAACCCUUGAAUGCCGGUUGAUACUGUCGGGCUAGAGUCCGGAAGAGGCGAGUGGAAUUCCCGGUGUAGCGGUGAAAUGCGCAGAUAUCGGGAAGAACACCAAUGGCGAAGGCAGCUCUCUGGGACGGUACUGACGCUGAGACGCGAAAGCGUGGGGAGCGAACAGG